AUUUGGACGAGUGGUGUGAAGAAAGAUUCUAACACAGACAUCUGGACAGGCACGGGCGCAAAGAUGAUUUUGAAUCAACCAAAAGUCCAUGGUGCUAAGACUGGCUGCGUGAUGGCAACAAAUAGAGAGCUUUUAGUCUACAACUGCAACGCUCGGCAUGACUUUGUUUGCGAGCUUGAAUCAAACUGCCACCCUGAAUCUGAUUUAAAAAACCUUGGAAUGGUAAUUUCUUCAACCUCAAUAAUGCAACCAGAAACAACCUUAUUGACGACACCAUCGAGUAAUCUAUCAACUAAAUUAUUUCAUCACAACCAUGUCGACUGUGGAAAUUUAAAUCUACCUCCUCGGCAAUUAUUGUUUGAAAGAAGAGGAAAAAUAUACUACGCAAGCUUGCUAAGCGGAAACAAUAGCAAGCCAAUUAACUGGAGAGAUGCAAAUAUGUGGUGCAAAACACAUGGAAUGGAGUUGGUCUCGCUAGAAACUGAAACAGAGCAAUUGUAUCUUGAUUAUAAAAAUAAUGACCAGCCCUUUUGGACGAGUGGCUUGCGGACGAAUUACAACACACUCAUGUGGAACGGGACAGGCCAAGAGAUAUUAAGAAACAUUAUCAUGCUUGGAAAAGGUGAUGGCUGCCUAAUGGCUGCCAGAAAUACGGUUCACGUUUCAGAUUGUUUGUCAGAAGGAUUUUUCAUUUGCGAGCUUGAAACAUACUUCGUUGACUCUGGAUUAACGGAGGCAAUAUUUUCAUUAGCAUCAUCAAAAGUGAAAUUAACAGAUUUAACACAAAAAUUGUUAUCGCCAAGUACAUUUUCAACUA